GUCGUCCUACGGGACGCAGCAGUGGGGAAUAUUGGGCAAUGGGCGCAAGCCUGACCCAGCAACGCCGCGUGAAGGAAGAAGGCUUUCGGGUUGUAAACUUCUUUUCUGGGGGACGAACAAAUGACGGUACCCCAGGAAUAAGCCACGGCUAACUACGUGCCAGCAGCCGCGGUAAUACGUAGGUGGCAAGCGUUAUCCGGAUUUAUUGGGUGUAAAGGGCGCGUAGGCGGGAAUGCAAGUCAGAUGUGAAAACUCAGGGCUCAACCCUGAGUCUGCAUUUGAAACUGUGUUUCUUGAGUGCUGGG
rnacentral:rRNA from 1 species